GACCUAUCCCUGGAGGAAGCACGGGCUAAGUUCGUGCCAGCAGCCGCGGUAAGACGAACCGUGCGAACGUUGUUCGGAAUCACUGGGCUUAAAGGGCGCGUAGGCGGGUCAUCAAGUCAGGGGUGAAAUCUUUCGGCUUAACCGGAAAACAGCCUCUGAUACUGGUGGUCUGGAGGGAGGUAGGGGCAGAUGGAACUUCCGGUGGAGCGGUGAAAUGUGUUGAUAUCGGAAGGAACGCCGGUGGCGAAAGCGAUCUGCUGGACCUCUUCUGACGCUGAGGCGCGAAAGCUAGGGUAGCGAACGGGAUUAGAUACCCCGGUAGUCCUAGCCCUAAACGAUGGGUACUAGAUAGUGGACUUGACAUGGGUUCACUGUCGAAGCAAAAGUCUUAAGUACCCCGCCUGGGGAGUAUGGUCGCAAGGCUGAAACUCAAAGG
rnacentral:rRNA from 1 species